GAGGACGACGCUGGCGGCGUGCCUAACACAUGCAAGUCGAGCGGGGUUGAGGCGAGAGGUAACUCGAGCUUCUACCUAGCGGCGGACGGGUGAGUAACGCGUGGGCAACCUGCCUCAAGGUUUGGGAUAACAGCCCGAAAGGGCUGCUAAUACCGGAUAUGCCUAUGGCCUCGCAUGGGGCUAUGAGCAAAGGGGAAACCCGCCUUGAGAUGGGCCCGCGUCCCAUCAGCUAGUUGGUGAGGUAACAGCUCACCAAGGCGACGACGGGUAGCCGGCCUGAGAGGGUGACCGGCCACACUGGGACUGAGACACGGCCCAGACUCCUACGGGGGGCAGCAGUGGGGGAUCUUGCACAAUGGGCGAAAGCCUGAUGCAGCGACGCCGCGUGAGCGAAGAAGGCCUUCGGGUUGUAAAGCUCUGUCUGGAGGGACGAACAAAAUGACGGUACCUCCGGAGGAAGCCACGGCUAACUACGUG
rnacentral:rRNA from 1 species